GGGUCACCUGGAAUUGCUGUCUUGUGGGCUGGAGAGCCUUCCAGUCCAAUUGCUAUUUUCCUUUUAAUGGCAACAAGAUGUGGGCUCAGAGUGAAAGCCACUGUAUGGGGACGGGGGCUCAUCUGGCCACCAUCAGCACAGAAGCUGAGCAGAACGUUAUCACUCAAUUUUUGGAUAGCGAUUUUCAUAUUUCCUGGGACUUACAGAUGAGAACCUUGAAGGCCAGUGGCAUUGGGUGGACAAGACACCAUUGAACCCACAGAUGGUAUUCUGGCACGAGAGUGAACCCAACAACUACCAGAAAGAAAAAUGUGUUGUCUUUGUUAAUGACAAAGACAAAUUGGGCCUGGAAUGAUUUUCCUUUUGACUUUAAGACAAGUAGGAUUUGUAAGAUACCUGGAGCAGCAUUCAAC